rnacentral:tRNA from 1 species
GGCUCAUUGGUCUAGGGGUAUGAUUCUCGCUUUGGUUGCGAGAGGUCCCGGGUUCAAAUCCCGGAUGAGCCC